CGUAGGCGGGACGUCAAGUUAGGGUGAAAGGCCUGGGCUCAACCUAGGAACUGCCUCUAAAACUGACGUUCUGGAGUCCGGGAGAGGAUGGCGGAAUUCCCAGUGUGGAGGUGAAAUUCGUAGAUAUUGGGAAGAACACCAGUGGCGAAGGCGGCCAUCUGGUCCGGCACUGACGCUGAGGCGCGAAAGCGUGGGGAGCAAACA
rnacentral:rRNA from 1 species